rnacentral:rRNA from 1 species
AUUGAACGCUGGCGGCAUGCUUUACACAUGCCAGUCGAGCGGUAACAGGCCUUCGGGUGCUGACGAGUGGCGAACGGGUGAGUAAUGCAUCGGAACGUACCCAGAGGUGGGGGAUAACGCAGCGAAAGCUGUGCUAAUACCGCAUGUGAUCUGAGGAUGAAAGCGGGGGACCGAGCAGCAAUGUUUGGCCUCGCGCCUUUGGAGCGGCCGAUGUCGGAUUAGCUAGUUGGUGGGGUAAAGGCCUACCAAGGCGACGAUCCGUAGCUGGUCUGAGAGGACGACCAGCCACACUGGGACUGAGACACGGCCCAGACUCCUACGGGAGGCAGCAGUGGGGAAUUUUGGACAAUGGGCGCAAGCCUGAUCCAGCAAUGCCGCGUGCGGGAAGAAGGCCUUCGGGUUGUAAACCGCUUUUGGCAGGAACGAAACGGUGUCCGCUAAUACCGGGCGCUAAUGACGGUACCUGCAGAAUAAGCACCGGCUAACUACGU